UACGUAGGGGGCAAGCGUUAUCCGGAAUUAUUGGGCGUAAAGGAGCUCGUAGGCGGUUUGUCGCGUCUGCCGUGAAAGUCCGGGGCUCAACUCCGGAUCUGCGGUGGGUACGGGCAGACUAGAGUGAUGUAGGGGAGACUGGAAUUCCUGGUGUAGCGGUGAAAUGCGCAGAUAUCAGGAGGAACACCGAUGGCGAAGGCAGGUCUCUGGGCAUUAACUGACGCUGAGGAGCGAAAGCAUGGGGAGCGAACAGG
rnacentral:rRNA from 1 species